GAAAGGUAGAGGAACUAACCAGGUGUAUGUCAGUAACACUCCCCAGGGAAAUCAAAGAUGGACUCAAAGGGAUGAAGGUAAGAAGAUGGACGACAAUAAGGGAAGACAACCCCUAACAACCUAACAUUUAAUCCUAAGGCACCGACCACUCACCAAAGCACUGUUAAGUGUUUCUAGUGCUUAAGAGUAUGGCAUAUUACAUCCCAAUGUCCUAAUCAGUGUGCCAUGAUUAUCUGAGAAGACAGAGAUAUCGUUAGUGAACAUGAGAAUAGUAAUGAGCAGGAAGAUCUACCGCCAGAGGAUGCAGGUAGAGAAAGUAACUCCAACCAGUACAAGGAGAUGUGUUCAUGGCUUAACGAGCAUUAAACAUACAAGUUAAGCCUGAAAGCAAUGAUAAAAGAGAAACUAUUUUCCACUCCAGAUGUUUGGUCAACAG
rnacentral:lncRNA from 1 species